rnacentral:rRNA from 2 species
GAUUUCUGGCUUCAAACAUUUUGCCGGCCACGGUUUCGUGUGUUAGUGCUUGAUGUUGUGGCCAUCCUUCCAAUCGCUGUGCACCUUUCUUCAUUGAUUGGUGUGUAGUAUUGGAUCUUUUACUUUGAAAAAAUUAGAGUGUUUCAAGCAGGCUUUAUGCUAUGAAUACAUUAGCAUGGAAUAAUAAUUUAGGACUUCGGUUCUAUUUUGUUGGUUUCUAGGACUGAAGUAAUGAUUGAUAGGGAUAGUUGGGGGUGCUAGUAUUCAGCGGCCAGAGGUGAAAUUCUCGGAUUCGCUGAAGACUAACUUAUGCGAAAGCAUU